rnacentral:tRNA from 1 species
CUCUGAAUAGCUCAGUUGGAAGAGCGAGCGACUGUAAAUCGCUAGGUCACUGGUUCGAUCCCGGUUUCGGAGA